rnacentral:rRNA from 1 species
GACGAACGCUGGCGGCGUGCUUAACACAUGCAAGUCGAACGGAAAGGCCCUGCUUUUGUGGGGUGCUCGAGUGGCGAACGGGUGAGUAACACGUGAGUAACCUGCCCUUGACUUUGGGAUAACUUCAGGAAACUGGGGCUAAUACCGGAUAGGAGCUCCUGCUGCAUGGUGGGGGUUGGAAAGUUUCGGCGGUUGGGGAUGGACUCGCGGCUUAUCAGCUUGUUGGUGGGGUAGUGGCUUACCAAGGCUUUGACGGGUAGCCGGCCUGAGAGGGUGACCGGCCACAUUGGGACUGAGAUACGGCCCAGACUCCUACGGGAGGCAGCAGUGGGGGAUAAUGCACAAUGGGCGGAAGCCUGAUGCAGCAACGCCGCGUGCGGGAUGACGGCCUUCGGGUUGUAAACCGCUUUCGCCUGUGACGAAGCGUGAGUGACGGUAAUGGGUAAAGAAGCACCGGCUAACUACGUG